rnacentral:rRNA from 1 species
CAGUAGCCGCGGUAAUACGUAGGGUGCAAGCGUUAAUCGGAAUUACUGGGCGUAAAGCGUGCGCAGGCGGUUAUAUAAGACAGAUGUGAAAUCCCCGGGCUCAACCUGGGAACUGCAUUUGUGACUGUAUAGCUAGAGUACGGCAGAGGGGGAUGGAAUUCCGCGUGUAGCAGUGAAAUGCGUAGAUAUGCGGAGGAACACCGAUGGCGAAGGCAAUCCCCUGGGCCUGUACUGACGCUCAUGCACGAAAGCGUGGGGAGCAAACAGGAUUAGAUACCCCCGUAGUCCCUGUCUCUUAUAA